AUUGAACGCUGGCGGAAUGCUUUACACAUGCAAGUCGAACGGCAGCACGGGGGCAACCCUGGUGGCGAGUGGCGAACGGGCGAGUAAUACAUCGGAACGUGCCCAGUCGUGGGGGAUAACGUAGCGAAAGUUACGCUUAUACCGCAUACGAUCUACGGAUGAAAGCGGGGGACCGUAAGGCCUUGCGCGAUUGGAGCGGCCGAUGUCAGAUUAGGUAGUUGGUGAGGUAAAGGCUCACCAAGCCGACGAUCUGUAGCUGGUCUGAGAGGACGACCAGCCACACUGGGACUGAGACACGGCCCAGACUCCUACGGGAGGCAGCAGUGGGGAAUUUUGGACAAUGGGCGCAAGCCUGAUCCAGCCAUUCCGCGUGCAGGACGAAGGCCUUCGGGUUGUAAACUGCUUUUGUACGGAACGAAAAGGCUCUGGUUAAUACCUGGGGCUCAUGACGGUACCGUAAGAAUAAGCACCGGCUAACUACGUGCCAGCCGCCGCAGUAA
rnacentral:rRNA from 1 species